ensembl:lncRNA
GAGCAGAGUAUACCGCAGACAUCAUUUCUACUACAGUGGCGGAGCCGUACAGGACCUGUUUCACUGCAGGGGGAUCCAAAACAAGCCCCGUGGAGCAGCAGCCAGAGCAACAGCAGCCGCAAGACAUUGUUUCUCUCCCUCUGCCCCCCCUUCCCCACGCAACCCCAGAUCCAUUUACACUUUACAGAGCAUCGUGCAUCAAGUCACCAGGGUGGUCCAUUCAAGCUGCAGAUUUAUUUGUCAUCCUUGUACAACAGUCUCCUCCUCCACUGCCACUACAGGGAAGUGCAUCACAUGUCAGGUCACAGAACAGAAAGUGCUGGUGGACAUCUCUUCUUGCCCUAAGAUCUUCGUUGGAAGUCCUCGGGACUUGGUGUCUUUGCCGUUCAAAGUGUUUAUGAACUCGCCAGGAGGCAUAAUGUGUCACCAUUUUAUUCUGGGCCACCCUAAAGGAUGACACCCAGCUUCAGAGACCUCCUCUUGGACGACAUCCCUGAGAACCAAUGUUUUAGCCGUCCCAUAGUCUGACGUCUGUUUCCGACUGCUUUUGAGCUGGCGCAGGCUUAGUCAUUAAUGGCCAGGACGAUGUUAAAUGUUCUGCCUGAUUGGCUUGCAGCUACACACCUUUUGUCAUUUGUAGAGCAGCAACUCCCUCUUGAGCUCUUGGGGAGUCUUUACACAAAUACACUAGAAAAAAGGCACCCAUCCAUUUUUUUCCAUCUUGGCAUUAGCUCACAGGCAUAGUCCUGGGAUGACCUGGAGUAGAGGCAGUGGAGGAUAAAUUCAUCUUGCACAGACUUGUUUGUGCUAGUUCUAGCCUGUCUCUCGCCACAGAUCUAGCUUUUAAAUACUCAAGUGAUUGGUUUUGUGUAGGAAUGUGUGGAUUGUUGGAUUGGAAGAAUUUUCUCCCUGGAUUUCGAGUGUUUACAUAAGCAGAUAUAAAAAAAAUUUGAUCACUGAUUUAAAUAGCAGAGCUUAUUUUAAAAAGUUAUGGGUAUUUCAAGGUGGUACAGAAUAAAAAUGUCAGGUUUUUUU